rnacentral:rRNA from 1 species
AAACCAACAGGGAUUGCUCUAGUAACGGCGAGUGAAGCAGCAAUAGCUCAAAUUUGAAAUCUGGCGUCUUCGACGUCCGAGUUGUAAUUUGUAGAGGAUGCUUCUGAGUGGCCACCGACCUAAGUUCCUUGGAACAGGACGUCAUAGAGGGUGAGAAUCCCGUAUGCGGUCGGAAAGGCGCUCUACACGUAGCUCCUUCGACGAGUCGAGUUGUUUGGGAAUGCAGCUCUAAAUGGGAGGUAAAUUUCUUCUAAAGCUAAAUAUUGGCCAGAGACCGAUAGCGCACAAGUAGAGUGAUCGAAAGAUGAAAAGCACUUUGGAAAGAGAGUUAAAAAGCACGUGAAAUUGUUGAAAGGGAAGGGAUUGCAACCAGACUUGCUCGCGGUGUUCCGCCGGUCUUCUGACCGGUCUACUCGCCGCGUUGCAGGCCAGCAUCGUCUGGUGCCGCUGGAUAAGACUUGAGGAAUGUAGCUCCCUCGGGAGUGUUAUAGCCUCUUGUGAUGCAGCGAGCGCCGGGCGAGGUCCGCGCUUCGGCUAGGAUGCUGGCGUAAUGGUCGUAAUCCGC